CUACGGGGCGCUGCAGUAGGGAAUUUUGCGCAAUGGGGGAAACCCUGACGCAGCAACGCCGCGUGAGUGAAGAAGGCCCUCGGGUUGUAAAGCUCUGUUGAUCGGGAAGAUGGGAAGUUGGGGUAACAUUCCAGCUUUUUGACGGUACCGAUCGAGGAAGCACCGGCUAGUUCCGUGCCAGCAGCCGCGGUAAUACGGAAGGUGCAAGCGUUGUUCGGAAUUAUUGGGCGUAAAGGGCGCGUAGGCGAGGAUUUAAGUCAUGUGUGAAAUCCCUCGGCUCAACCGAGGACGUGCAUGUGAAACUGGAUCCAGUGAGUACCGGAGGGGGUAGUGGAAUUCCAUGUGUAGGAGUGAAAUCCGUAGAUACGUGGAGGAACACCGGUGGCGAAGGCGGCUACCUGGCCGGAUACUGACGUUGAGGCGCGAAAGCGUGGGGAGCAAACAGGAUUAGAUACCCGCGUAGUC
rnacentral:rRNA from 1 species